rnacentral:lncRNA from 1 species
CAUCACCAGAUGAGAAUAUGUAUGGAUUCAUGAACAAGAAAAUUGCUUAACCAUUUGAUCAAGAGAGAUUGGAAAAUCAAGAUGAAGCAGGUCUGGGUGAAAGAGCUGUGAAUGGAUUAAUGGAACAGAAAGGAGGUGUGGAGAUCCUUCUAUUACAUGUUAAUGAUCACCAGGGAACAUCCACUACAAUAGAACAUCCCACUAAAUCACCAGUAGACACAAGAGAAUAUGUGGCCAGUUGACUUUGGCCAGCCUCUGUCAUUAGAUGUCAAUGUUCAAACAACGGUACAUGAAUGGCAUAGCCCUGGUAGCAGGAGUGGGGGCUAUGCAUGGAUCCAGCAAUACACACUCCCACUCCACAACAUUGACCCAGCCACCAAGGCUGACAAAAUAUUCAACCUUCCAGCAACAGAAACCAAGGAUGACCCUUAUCCCUGCCCAGGUAUGGUAUUAGCCCUUGAGACUAACCAGCCAUGUGGUGGGAAGUUGAAUAUCUUCUCUACUAGUCCCAUCAGAUCAUGCACCAUCCAGAAGCUGCCACACUAACAGAGUGAUGGAAAGGCCUGUUGAAGGCAUAGUGGAUGAGCCACACCAUUGCAAGGUAAUGUCAUCGGAGGUUUAUUUAGCAUGUGUAUUACACCCAGAAGAAUGGUGUCCCAUCCUUGCAAGGUAAUGUCAUCAUCAGAUUCUCCUGGGUGUAAUAUACAUGCUAAACAAACAAUCAUUAUAUGAUGCUGUGUCCCCAAGAGGUAAAAUAUGUGGGAGCUAAGGAGUGGAAGCAGCAAUAGCCUCACUUACCAUCAAUACAAUUGACUCCUUAGGGAACUUGUGCCUAGGCUCUGUGGGUUUAGAGGUCCUGGUGCCCAAAGGAGAUGUGCUUCCAUCAGGGAAUACAACAAGCAUUCAAUUGAACAUGAGGUUAAGGCUGCCACUUGGGAGCAUCAGGCUCCUCAUGCCAAGAGAUCACCAAGCAAAAAGAGGAAUCACCGUACCAUGAGCAUUAAUCAAUCCCAUUCUUCAGAAGGAGAUGGGACUGCUGACACAAGGCCACAGAGAGGCCCCCAGAUAACUUGCCUGGGUGUCCCUUAGAAUUCCCUUGCCCAUUUUUUAAUAAUAGAUGGAUAAAUGCAACAGUCUCCACCUAACAAAGGCAUAAUGAUGGGACUUCUCAAGAGUGAGAAGCUAGGUCAUUCCACCAGCCAAGUAGACCAGCAGAGGUACCAAAAAGAGACAGGAAAUCUAGACUGUAAAGUAAAACAGGAAGAUUCCCCAGGAACAGAAGCCAACUGUGAUCCUAGAGGAGCUUCUCCUUAACAUGCAGAAAGAAGUGGAUCCAUGAAGCACAAGAGCUGAGCUGUCAUGGAAACUGCACAUCUCAAAUUUCCCAUCAGGACUGAAGGACCUAGUCCCCCACAGGCUGAAGACAGUCACCUUACCCAACUUCAUGCUCUCUUCCAGGGGCAGCCUGCAUCCAACAACUUGUCAGCACAGGACUAUAAAGGCCUUACCCUUUGCCUCUGUGAAGCAUCCCACAGAGAGGUGCAUCCACCUCUGAAGGUACAUCCCAGCUUCAGGCUCCCAGUCACUUUGGGCUUACCCAGCCUCUUCGUCUGCCCUGCUUUUCUCCCUCCCCUUCCUUCCUGCAGGUUUGGAUCCUGAGAGCACUCCCUAAUAAACCUCAUGCCCACAAAUCUCUAUCUUGGAAUCUGCUUCUUCGGAACCAAAUCUGGGACAGAUCAAUUUACAAAGAUAGAAGGGUUUAGGAAGGCAAAAGGGUUUCUGUUACCAUGUCUAGGCCUGAAGGGACAAAGAGAGGAACUUGGAGCAAGAGCCAUAUGGAAAAAACAAUCUGAAAGAUUGUAGGGAUUCUGGCAGAAGCACAAGGCCAAGCCCUGGCAAUCCCCACCUCACAUCCCUCCGCUCUUUCAUCUCCCCUUAGUGCCUCCCAUUGUAGAACCAAACUGGAAGUGGUGGUCAGUGGAUUCCUUUGUCUGUUUCUUAUAGGUCAGCCUCCUGGGGCAGAGAGCAUGUUAGAGUGUGGAUUUGGAGGUGCAAAUGAAAGUUACCCUGUAGCCCACUUGACUCUGUAGAUUUCUUUUUCUCUUACAGAAAAUAAAUUAAAUUAUGUAUCUUCUUUAGAGAUAGGGUAUGACUUCUAUUUUGAGUUAUCUGUGUCAUUUAAUUAAUAUACAAAUAAAAUGACAUGACAGAAAAUACUUACUUGAAUACAAAGGACAAGUAAUUAGAUCUUAGAUAAUAAAUCCAUCCCUUUAGAUAAGACUUUAGGCAAAUGGAUUUAUAAGUAAAAGCAAUAGGAAAACUUGCUACCUAAGCAUGAAAAAUGAUGUUCCUGAUAAAUUCCUGGAAGGAAGCUGGUGUCAGCCCCCAACUCCUUUCUAGGCCUCUACCAGCCUAUAUUCCAAAUGGCCCUGCCAUGGCUCUUCUUUUCUUAAGAUUUGAUCUUUCUCCAGGCAUGGAUGAACCACAUGUAAGACAUUUAAACAGCCCAGGUGCCAAAUUUAGUAGGGCUUAGGAUUACACAACAUUCCCAAACCUGGGAUCUGAAGGGCCAGGUGCUGACCAACAGGAUCCCAAAUUCAUCCCAGGGGCUCUUUGACCGAUAACCAGAAUGUGAAUUCAACUGCUGGAUGACCCCAUGCAAAGCUCUCCCUGGCGCUGAGUAAUCCAGUUCCCUUUUCAUUAAAAGCCAUCUACUUUCCCAGGAGGGGGAAUCCUUCUGCACAGCCCAUUCCUAUGACUAAGCUCUGUGUUCACAAGGAAGAUCUCCUCUCAGUCCUGCUAUGCCCCCACUGCUGAGCUUGGAACCCCAAUACUAAGUAUAGCCUGUGUCACAAUUGUUCUUGCUGAGAUCUUCUACUAUUGCCUGAACACAACUCAUUCCUGAUCCCCUCUAGUGAGUAUGUCCCUGGCCAUUUUUCAGCACUUUUAUCCUCUUUUCUUGCUCUGAGUUUUCAUGGACAGGGUAUCUAGGAAAAGGAAAAGGAAGAAGGAAUAAAUCAAAUGCCUACAGACCUUCAAAGAGUGCUCCAAAGCCAGUGUAAAGCACUGGGGAACAGUGAGGAUUAGGGCAAAAUAUUUCUUAUAAUGUUCUGAGUUUCAUGAGUUGAAGGCUUUAGUGCUUAAUGUCCAAAUGAUGCAAAUGAAAACACCCUUUCAUUCUUCUUUUCCUUUUUAAAAAACAAGGAAGAAGACAGUCAAAGCCUCAGUCUAUACUAUAUUUACACUUGACUCAAAUGCAUUAAUAACAUUGUAGACUAAGGAGGUAUCUGGGGGAAAAAUAGUUUUGUGAUUUAACUGUAGUGCAAAUUUUACCUAGUAAAAGGUUUUUGAUAUUUAUCCUCAGAGAAGAUCUA